rnacentral:rRNA from 1 species
AGAGUUUGAUCCUGGCUCAGGACGAACGCUGGCGGUGUGCUUCACACAUGCAAGUCGAGCGAAUGAAGUAGGUAGCUUGCUACUUAUGGAUUUAGCGGCGGACGGGUGAGUAAUAUAUAGGAAUCUGCCUUAGAGCGGGGAACAACAGACCGAAAGGUUUGCUAAUGCCCCAUAGGUAUGCAGUCUUCGGAUUGUAUAUUAAAGGAGUAAUCCACUCUAAGAUGAGCCUGUAUCCGAUUAGCUAGUUGGCGGGGUAAAGGCCCACCAAGGCUACGAUCGGUAGUUGGUCUGAGAGGAUGAUCAGCCACAAUGGGACUGAGACACGGCCCAUAUUCCUACGGGAGGCAGCAGUGGGGAAUUUUACACAAUGGGGGAAACCCUGAUGUAGCGACACCGCGUGAACGAAGAAGCCUUUUGGGGUGUAAAGUUCUGUCGGCUGGAACGAAAAAAAUGACGGUACCAGCAAAGGAAGCAUCGGCUAACUACGUGCCAGCAGCCGCGGUAAGACGUAGGAUGCAAGCGUUGUCCGGAUUUAUUGGGCGUAAAGAGUUCGUAGGCGGUUAUUUAAGUCUGAUGUUAAAUACUGUGGCCCAACCACAGAACUGCAUUGGAUACUGGAUGACUUGAGUGCGGUAGAGGCAAGUGGAAUUCCCAGUGUAGCGGUGAAAUGCGUAG